AUACUUAGGGUGCAAGCGUUAAUCGGAAUUACUGGGCGUAAAGCGCUCGUAGGCGGCUUGUAAAGUCGGAUGUGAAAUCCCCGGGCUCAACCUGGGAACUGCAUUCGAUACUGGCAGGCUAGAGUAUAGUAGAGGCAAGUGGAAUUUCGGGUGUAGCGGUGAAAUGCGUAGAUAUCCGAAGGAACAUCAGUGGCGAAGGCGACUUGCUGGACUAAUACUGACGCUGAGGAGCGAAAGCGUGGGGAGCAAACGGGAUUAGAAACCCGAGUAGUCC
rnacentral:rRNA from 1 species